UACGUAGGGGGCAAGCGUUGUCCGGAAUCAUUGGGCGUAAAGCGCGUGUAGGCGGCUCGAUAAGUCUGCUGUGAAAGUCCAGGGCUCAACCCUGGGAUGCCGGUGGAUACUGUCGAGCUCGAGUCCGGAAGAGGCGAGUGGAAUCCUGGUGUAGCGGUGAAAUGCGCAGAUAUCAGGAGGAACACCAAUGGCGAAGGCAGCUCGCUGGGACGGUACUGACGCUGAGACGCGAAAGCGUGGGGAGCAAACAGG
rnacentral:rRNA from 1 species